rnacentral:lncRNA from 10 species
AACUUUUUAUUUUGAAAAAUUAUAGACUUAUAAGAAGUUUCAAGACUCACCUCAGUUGUUUCUCUUUCCUCGGGGAUCACAAUUUUCAGUAGUCUGAAAGCACUUGUUUCAUAAUUUUGCCUAGUUUCUAGUAGCUUACAGUGAGAGGUUAAGUCCCCCAUUCAUCUUAGCUACAAGUGGAAAUAUCUGCUUUGAUUUUUAUUGAAGAUCAUAAACAGCAAUGGUUAUAUAAAUUCUGAUUCUGAAUUUCCCAGUACUGUUGAGGACAUUCAUAUAUCAUUCAGUAUCCCCUGUAUCACUUCAUAAGUGAAUUACAUAAUAACUCCUGUUUCUUCUACUUUUUCCCUUGCCUGCAAGGAAAAUCAGUCAAGAUUUCUACUAGAUCAUCGCAGUUUUGUUGACCUAGAGGUAUCUCGGGGGAGCUUUGUGCCUUGAUGGAUCAAGUUCAUCAUAUGCAGCACUCAAAAUGGCAGCAUCCUUCGGACCUCACCACGCGAAACUACGCCCGCCGACAGAAACAUCUGCAAAGAU